GACAGAGGGGGCGAGCGUUGUCCGGCAUCACUGGGCGUAAAGCGCGCGCCGGCGACAACCUUAGUGUCGUGUGAAAGCCCCCGGCUCAACCGGGGGAGGCCAUGGCAAACUGGGUCGCUCGAGCUGCGGAGAGGCCCCUCGAAUUGCCGGUGUAGCGGUGAAAUGCGUAGAGAUCGGCAGGAAGACCAAGGGGGAAGCCAGGGGGCUGGCCGCAGGCUGACGCUGAGGCGCGACAGCGUGGGGAGCAAACCGG
rnacentral:rRNA from 1 species